GUGCUCGCUUUGGCAGCACAUAUACUAAAAUUGCAAUAAUGCAGAGAAGAUUAGCAUGGUCCCUGCGCAAGGAUGACACGAAAGUUCGUGAAGAAUUCUUUUUUUUU
ensembl:snRNA U6 U6 spliceosomal RNA